AAUCAACGCUGGCGGCGUGCCUCAGACAUGCAAGUCGAACGAUUAAAGCUCUCUUCGGAGAGUGUAUAGAGUGGCGCACGGGUGAGUAACACGUAAGUAAUCUACCUUUGAGUGGGGAAUAACCCGGGGAAACCCGAGCUAAUACCGCAUAAUGCAGCGGCACCGCAAGGUGACAGUUGUUAAAGGAGCAAUCCGCUUAAAGAGGAGCUUGCGGCAGAUUAGCUAGNGGUAAGGUAAUGGCUUACCAAGGCUUCGAUCUGUAUCCGGCCUGAGAGGGCGGUCGGACACACUGACACUGAAUAACGGGUCAGACUCCUACGGGAGGCAGCAGUCGGGAAUUUUGGGCAAUGGGCGAAAGACCUGACCCAGCAACGCCGCGUGAAGGAUGAAGUAUUUCGGUAUGU
rnacentral:rRNA from 1 species